AUGCUCGCUUCGGCAGCACACACACUAAAACCAGAGCGAGACAGAGACGGUUAGCGUGGCCCCUGUGCAAGGGGGACAUGCACACUCGUGAAGCAUUCCAUAUUAAA
ensembl:snRNA U6 U6 spliceosomal RNA